UACGUAGGGGGCAAGCGUUAUCCGGAAUUAUUGGGUGUAAAGGGAGCGUAGACGGUAAUGUAAGUCUGGAGUGAAAGGCGGGGGCCCAACCCCCGGACUGCUCUGGAAACUAUGUUACUAGAGUGGAGGAGAGGUAAGCGGAAUUCCUAGUGUAGCGGUGAAAUGCGUAGAUAUUAGGAGGAACACCAGUGGCGAAGGCGGUCUGCUGGACAGCAACUGACGCUGAGGCGCGAAAGCGUGGGGAGCAAACAGG
rnacentral:rRNA from 1 species